GGAGCGGUGGCAGAGCGGUUGAAUGCGCCGGAUUCGAAAUCCGGUUCGGCUUUCGGGUCGACGGGGGUUCGAAUCCCCCCUGCUCCG
rnacentral:tRNA from 2 species